rnacentral:rRNA from 1 species
UACGAGGGGGGCGAGCGUUGUUCGGAAUUACUGGGCGUAAAGCGUGCGCAGGCGGCUUCUCAAGUCAGGGGUGAAAGCCCAGAGCUCAACUCUGGAAUUGCCUUUGAGACUGAGUGGCUUGAGUACGAGAGAGGUGAGUGGAAUUCCCAGUGUAGAGGUGAAAUUCGUAGAUAUUGGGAAGAACACCGGUGGCGAAGGCGGCUCACUGGCUCGUAACUGACGCUCAUGCACGCAGCGUGGGGAUCAAACAGG